AAAUAGAUGGUGUUUUAGCAGCUGAAUAAUGCUACCGUCAGCUUCCAGCUAGCUUGCUAAGUCUAGCUACAGCGUCCAGCUAACAUGCUAAUGCUAACAGGCAUUUAACAUAAACAAAAUUUGUUUGAUAUUAAUUAGAAAUUCUUAUAAAAAAACUUGACAGAAAUACGCAGGUCAAGUAAGUAAACUUCUUUCUGAGCACAAUUUAGUUGGACUGGUCAGAAAAUACAAGUAAAAUCCACAAUUUUAGCUUAGCUGUAAAAUGUCCUACCUCUCAGUGUCUCUGUUGGGUCGGGAAAAGAACUUUCUAGCUCUUUCUCCUAUUAGUAGCUAGGGGAAUUCCAUCUCGUCAUGGUUACAGCACAUAACCAAUAAGAGACUGUAUCUGUACACGUUGUUGUCCUCACAUGCGUAUCAGUAAUAUUUAACUCAUCAGAGCUGUUUGUUUUGCUGCAGCAAAGAAUCUGGACCCACUUUAAACUGUUGCCUGAAUCUUUACUCAUGUUAAACGUGUUUAAUAAACAGGUCUCCACCACCUGAUCAUGAUGAUGAUGAUGAUGAAGAAGAACCAUCAGGAAAUGCUCCUAAGGAUGUGUAUGGUCUCAUGCUGUCACUUUGUUGCCUACAUGAAGGUGCUGUGGUGCACAGACAGUGGUUUGUCCACUAACAUGCAGAUCAGCAUGAGGAACAUCCUGUUUUUGGCUCCACCGUUGUUUUUUCAACACAGUUCUUGGCGUCACAAACAGGAUCCCGCUGCAGGUCGUCUGGACCGCGGUCCUGGCGACUAGGUUCGCUCAGCCUCCAAACCUCUACAGCUUUCUGAGUAGGAAGUCUGCCCACACGUCUGGAUCGCCUCUGACGAGAUCCAACAAACUCAAAAUCCAACCUCUACUUGGCUCGGUGAGAGAGAUUCCAUUUUUUGCGACUUGUUGGAAGCAAAAAAAAGGGGGGGGUUGAUAUUUGGUUCCAGGUAUUCGGGUUUCCUUGGUUCUGAUCAUUUGGUUUAGGGAAACAGAGGUAAUAAUAAUAAUUCUAAAACAUCUCCUAUUUCGCUGAAACUUUCCAAAAUUUAAUAAUUAGGAACAACAAUCAAUAUAAUUACUUAAUUAGGUCAAGUCUGCUCAGGGUUGGCUCUUGGAACCGAGCUUUUGUCUGUACUGGGGGGGUAACAAACAAGUGUGCAGAUCUGAGCGCAGUCCACACAGAGUCUGGGGGACAAGAAAAAAGACGGCUUCCGAAAGAGGGAGUGCUUACGCAGAAGGAAGUUUUCUCGAGAUACGAGGGAUCCGGGUCUUAGAGGGGCCUGACGGUGAGGGAUUACUUCUGGGAAGACUGUGUUGCUAGAUCUGAGCGGUUCCCUUUCUACGGCGACUUCAGAUAAAAAGAAAUAUUGGGAAGGUUCCAGCCGGAACACAAAAAGAUCUAAGACAGGAAACCGCUGGACUCUGGAAGUUGAGCUCGGGGCAAUCUAAGUCUCCACCACUGGACAGCAGCCUUACGAAAUUAAUGAGACGUAAAUAUGGUAAUGAGUGCGUGUCAUGUCUUCACAACUGGACAAAAGAUUAUGGGUUUCGAGAAGGGGGAUCACUCAGUGUGAAGGACAUACGCGAUUUAAAAGAGAAAUUGGAAGAAAAGGAGUCACAGCUCUGUACGAGCAAAGUUAAAACCUUAGAGGAAAUUGAAUUAAUCCAAAUCUCAGGGCAUCUGUUGUUUAAAGAAUGAGAACGCAGGGAAAGACUGAAAUGCCAAAAAGUUAGGAGGGAUUAAGGAUAGGAGUGGCGACGAAGAAAGACUCUGUGGAAGCUUGCACACCACCACCAUACACACAUACACACACACACACACAACACCAUGAGAAACAGAGCGCUCCCACUGGUCUGCUUUGUAUCCUUUUGCAGAGCUGAGCGCGAUGAAGGUGAAUCCCGACCUGGACUCCUUCUACGUCAGCAGGAGGGCCGAGCAGGGCCUGCCCAAUCAACAGCUUGACCGACCUCUGUCACCAGAAGCUGCACCAUCCGGAUCAGAGCAGCCAGAGAGCACAGACAACAGCAGAGAAGCGUCACCAAUCCCCAGAACAACUACCGUUCACCUUCCGAACAUCACCGUAUCAGGAAAGUCAUUCUGUGCCAACCUUCUGGCUUUCUGCCAGGAGUACAGACCCAGACCCAGCUGAGAUUCCUCGCAUCUUGGCCAAGCGUCUUUUACCUUUUUUACCAUGAAGAAUUAGUUGAUGACUUUGUUCGCUGCCUCACCACCGCAUACAACACACACGGAGGAGUUCAUCCUACCCCAAAAGGAGUGGGGGGGCUCAUUUGUUCACCAUACGAGAGUCAUCUGUGUGAGCUGGUGAUGAAAGGGUUGCUCCCUGAAGUGUUUGACGCCGUGAAGCAGUCGUACAUCAGAUGAAAAGAAGCGCGUCUGUCUGAUCUCACAAGACACGCACGCCUUGCUUAUGACACUCUCCAGCAGAAGAAGAUGGCAAAGAAGGAAAAACAACAGAGCGAAUUGUAUCUGCCCUCCUUGGAGAUGUUCAAACAAUUUCCUGCGUUUGCUGUGACGGUUCAAGGUGAACGCAUGGGGUUUUUAGUAGAUUUAGGAGCAACAAAUUCGGUAAUAGAAUCUUUCAUGUUUUCCAAUCCACCUGAGUGGACGGUUUGCGUACACUAUAGGUUAGUCUGGCCAGACAAUAAAAGAAAAACUUACUGUUCCUCUGUCUUGCUCAACAUCAGAUGGCAAGACACUCAAACAUUUAUUUCUGCUUUCAAACAUAUGCCCAGUUAGAGAUGCAUCUGACCUGUCUUGUACAGUGCAGCACAUGUGUCCACUGGUCCUGAUGAGAACUUUGAAAAAUCAUGGUUACGCACACACACUGACAAAUUGACCUCAAUCUCUCUCUUUGCGCUUGCAAUUUCUUUCACUAAUGAACAAGAGAGAUUUGUUGAUGCUUAUUCCGCAGAUCCACAUGUCCUCCUGUCAAAGCAUGACGGAGACAGAUAGCAGGACUUGGGUCCUUUCGUGGACAGAUGUCAACGGGAAGGAGACUGGCAAGCGACUUCCGACAUAAAUGUGAUGUAUUGACCUACCUUGCAUGCUUACAAGAAACUUUUUCAGUCCAACUUUCAUGCGCAGCGCACAGUGCACUCGGUACCUCAACAUUCCACACCACGUGUUUUUGUUGGAGGACGCGCUGACACAGUAUCCAGCCUUACCGGAAGUUCCUGCUUCCCUGUGGGCCACACACAAAUACAGUAUGAUGUAGGUUUAAUCAAAGGGUGCGACCCAGUGGUCAUCACACCUAAAUCUGACCACAAACCAUGUAAAUAUACCCUUUAAAGAGAGAGUUUAACUCUCUUUUGAAAGCAGGAGUCAUCGUCCCAUGUGCAACUCUCCCGUGAGGACCCCACUUUUCCCGGAAGAAAAUCAAGACAAGGGACAGCCAUCAGAAUGGAGGUUUGUCCAGGAUCUGCAAGCAGUAAAUGCGGCGGUCCAUUCUUUCUCAGAUUCUGCCUAUGGCAAAAAGUCUUUUUAGUUGUCGAUUUGGCCAAUGCUUUUUCAGCCUGCUCGUCCACAAAGACAGUCAAUUCUGAUUUGCUUUUGAAUUUAACGGAAAGUCUUUACCAGACUCUGUCAGGGGUAUUCAGAAAGCCCUACAAUCUACAAUAUGGCAUUAAAGACAGCGUGGAUGAUCUUGUUUUGUCCCCAGGCACCGCCCUACUGCAGUACGUUGAAUUGAUGAUCUGCAGUGAGAAUCAGGAAACUUGCACAGCAGACACGAUCAAGCUGCUGAAAUACCUGCACGCUGCAGGCCACAAAGCGAGCCAGUCCAAAUUAGUUUGUUCAGACUAAGGUCACCUUCCUAGGUCCCAUCAUUACCGCUGAAGGGAAAUCCAUUUUACCUGAAGGAGCUGAAGCUAUUCAGAACCUGCCUAAACCGUGCACAUACAAACAGCUUAUGUCCUUUCUAGGCAUGUGCUCUUAUUGCAGGAAUUUAAUUCCUAACUGCGCCGUCUUGGAGGCUCCACUCAGAGCUCUGAUGCAGACAUCCUCUUCGUCCACCUCUCGCCUCAUGUGGACAUCUGAGACUAAACAGGCAUUCAUCGACUUCAAACCUGCUCUUCAGUCUGCUCCUACAUUGGGUCUGCCUGACCCUACGCGACCUUUUACCAAACAGUGGAUGAGGCCCACGGUGCCUCCAAGCAGAGGUGUCACUUCCUAACUGUGACCUCGUUCUCUUUGUUGAUGGCUCCAUCUCUAGAGACCCUGCUUCGGACCAAUGUCAGGUUGGGUAUGCAGUCUGCACUCCUCUUGUCGUCUUGAAGUCUGGCUACUCUGCUCAGGCUGCAGAGUUGAUCGCAUUGACUGAAGCUAGUAAUUAGCAAAAGAAGAGUCUGUUACCAUCUACACAGACUCCACAGAUGCUUUUGGAGUUACACUUUGGUGAUCUGUGGAAGCAUUGGAAGCUUUUGAAGUCUAAUUGCAAACCUAUCUUACAUCAUGAUUAGGUUGCUGCUUUUCUGGACGUUGCCACCCACAGCUAAUGCUGUUUGUAACUGUCUGACUCACACCAUCAGUGACCACUUUUUUUCUCCUGCAAUGGUCACUGCCCGGCAAUCCCCUCCCUCUCCCCAUCCUUGUUCCCUCUCCUGAUCCUCCUUUCCUCGCUAACUCUCUCUACCCUCUCCUGCCUCAUUUCUCCCUGUGCUUUAAACGUUCUUUACCUCACAGGAAUGCAGACUCUGGCAGACGAAUGGUUCCUCCUGUAGCCAUGGAGUCUGGUUUGGGCCUGAUGGGCAGCUACGCCGCCCAAACACUUUUUUUCCCCACAAUUCAGAUUUUCCAACAGGUGAAAACAGGCGACAGGACCAUUACACCAUCCAACCAGGGGACUGAGCGAUCGUUAAGGAGUUCAGGAGGAAGCAUUGGGACUCCAAACGGUGGCAAGGCUCCUUCCAGGUCCUUCUGAUGAUCCACAUGGCUGUGAAGAUCACAGAGAGAGCGACUUGGAUUCACUCCAUCCACUGCAGGAAGGUCCCGGAUCCGACAGACGAUCCCUCCAUCUACACCACAUGGAGAAUUCUCCACUAACGAAAAGAACUGAGAAGAACGACCCUCGCUGUGCUCACACACACGCACUGAGGCGAGGCUGCGUUGACCAUUCAGCUAAAGGUGUGAGCCAAGCGCCGCCUGAAGCUGCACCGGUGAAUCACACUAUCAGACCAUACAUCUACACACCACUCCUGAGAAAACACACACACAAGCAGCCUUGAGUUGUCAAUGCUGGACGAUGUGUAGACUCUCCUCAUCAAGAGAGUGACAGUGACACAGGUGACAUUGGGAGGAAACCUGGUGGUGAUAACAAAUCCCAAGUGUCUCUGUGAUCAGCUGAUCACAACCUGAAGAACUCCUUCAAACUGUCAAUGCAUCUACACACAGGUUGGAAACAAUCUAACGCUACUGUUAAACAGGACCAAGCAGAUCGUUACAAGACGUCAAUUGUAACCUUGCGUUAGACUUCAUUUUAUGUUCCUCUGAUUAUUGCCUUGAUCAUAUGAUGUUUCCAUGUAACUUUACACACUAUUUUUGAAUGAGAAAAUUUCACAACGACACUGAGUUUAAAUAUCCUAAAGUUGAUUUGGUGUUUUAUUUGCUCACAAUCACUUUAUUCACUGCUACGAUGAGUUUUUAUCCUUCAUCUACAGAUGAAAGACAACACAAGCGGAAAUCAGUUAUCCCACUGGUUAGAGGUCAUGCGUGCGACCUCAGUAACACACUUGUAUUAAAUGACACAAUGCACUAUGUUCAGAAACCCCGACUCUAUUUCACGUAAUGACUUUGUUGAUGAUCUUAGGCUAUCUGAUCACAAAAUAUAAUCUGAUACAAAUAUGA